rnacentral:lncRNA from 1 species
UGGUUAGAUGAAGGCAAGAAAUGGAGAUCUUCAUUCCUAUUGAUUGAAGGCCAUGCCCAAUGGGCUUCAAGGAGGCUGCCCGAGGCCUUAUUAGGGAUUAGGGUUUCACUUUCAAAGGCAUUUGACCUUUGGAGGCUAGGAUCAGCAAGUUUCGGAUUUUGGGUAUAAUUUGAAUGAAGAGUUUGUGUGAUUUCGAGUUUUUGUGAAGGAGAUAUAAGUAUUCAAAGUUGAGGUGUCAAAUUUGUACCUACUGUCACUCUUUGAA